rnacentral:lncRNA from 1 species
UCCAUCUCUUAGGAGCCUUGUGGUGAUAGGAGCCAUUAAAUCUUCUUCCACUUCAUACCAACUGCAUUGCCAUAUAUUUCCAAGAUCCAAGCAUUUGACUGCAGUGUGUCACUGAGGGCAUAUACUCUCUCCAUGGCUCUCCUCCUUCUCCUCCUCUCCUCCAUCCUGAUCUCCAUGCUGCAUUGGAGCAGUGGUCAGCCUUCUCCUGGAUACUACCCGAGCCACAGGUUCAAGCCUUUGCCUGGCUUCUACCAUGGGUACAGCAACCUCUGGGGGCCUCAGCAUCAAACAGUCUCCGGAGACCAGUCCUCAGCGACCAUUUGGCUCGAUAGGAACUCAGGUUUCCUCACUCUACCUCCAGGAACUCCAUCUCUAUCUCGUCAUGCUAAUCCUGCUCAUAUUCUACUGGUGACAGGAAGCGGAUUCAAGUCGAAUCGCCCUUAUCGAAGUGGGUAUUUUGCGGCAUCCAUCAAGCUCCAAGCUGGAUACACUGCAGGAGUGAUCACUGCUUUCUAUGUGAGGAGGAUUGAGCCUGGACAAAAUUAUAUUACAACAUUAAAAUGUUACCUUGCAUCGUUUGUUUGACAAUGCUGUUGCUGAAAUCGUUGGACUGCAGCUUUCUAAUAACCAGGUACAUCCUGGGUUCCAUGAUGAGGUGGACAUUGAGUUCAUGGGGAAUACUCCAGGAAAGCCAUACAGAUUGCAGACCAAUGUGUACAUCAGGGGCAGCGGCGAUAGUAGAUAUGUUGGGAGGGAGAUGAAGUUCCACCUUUGGUUUGACCCGACUGCCGAUUUCCACAACUAUGCCAUCCUGUGGAACCCAGACGAGAUCAUGUAAGUAAAUCACCUGUGUCAACUGGGACUCCUUUUGAUUCAUUUUGGUUUGAACUCUUGACCUCCUCCUGAUCUUGUUGGACAUGUGAAAACUUGUCUUUCCCAACUGCAAGUCUGGGAAUAUAAAGAUUAGUUCACCUAAAUUGAAGAACCCAAUGAUAAACGAAAGAGAAGUUCCCUUCUUAUCUUCUUGUACAGUAGUAAAUAGUGUUUGCCAUUGAAUGCUAAGACUGGGCCUCACCACGGUGUUAUUAUAAAAGGGUAGGAGUAUGUUACCAAACCUAAUCUGCCAAGAGGGAAAUAGUAAAUAUAAAAUGCUACCUAUCAAGAACAAUGACUGAUUUGAUGGCUGAUUUUGUCAACCAGACACCAAAAGGUAUCUACAUGUACAACAUCCCAUGUAACUAGGCAAGAGCAAAAGUAGUGGCAGGGUCUGAAACAGCUAAACUUGGUAGAGUGUGUGGCCUUGUGAACGAUGCUCUCUUUGGAGCGUGGACUGUAGAAGAUGACAGCCAUUUGUGCCUGCAGAUUCUUUGUGGACGACAUACCUAUACGGCGGUAUCCGAGGAAGAGCGAAAACACAUUUCCGAUGCGGCCAAUGUGGAUGUAUGGAACCAUCUGGGAUGCAUCAUCUUGGGCCACGGACAGAGGCAAGUACAGGGUCGACUACCGGUACCAGCCGUUCGUCGCAAGGUUC